rnacentral:rRNA from 1 species
UACGUAGGGGGCAAGCGUUGUCCGGAUUUAUUGGGCGUAAAGAGCGUGUAGGCGGCCAGACAGGUCCGUUGUGAAAACUCGAGGCUCAACCUCGAGAUGUCGAUGGAAACCGUCUGGCUAGAGUCCGGAAGAGGAGUGUGGAAUUCCUGGUGUAGCGGUGAAAUGCGCAGAUAUCAGGAAGAACACCUAUGGCGAAGGCAGCACUCUGGGGACGGUACUGACGCUGAGACGCGAAAAAGCUGGGGGAGCGAACAGGAUUAGAAAACCCCGA